rnacentral:rRNA from 1 species
UGCUUCCCCAUGGCAUUAGAACGAGGUAGCAAUACCUCGUGGCGGUACAGGGUGAGUAACGCGUGGGAAUCUGCCCAAGGGUGGGGGAUAACUAACCGAAAGGUUAGCCAAUACCGCAUAUGCCGUGAGGUAAAAGGAGUAAUCCGCCCCUGGAUGAGCCUGCGUCCGAUUAGCUUGUUGGUAGGGUAAAAGCCUACCAAGGCUACGAUCGGUAGCUGGUCUGAGAGGAUGAUCAGCCACAAUGGGACUGAGACACGGCCCAUACUCCUACGGGAGGCAGCAGUGGGGAAUUUUACGCAAUGGGGGAAACCCUGACGUAGCGACACCGCGUGAGCGAAGAAGCCCUUUGGGGUGUAAAGCUCUGUCAGCAGGGACGAAAAAAAUGACGGUACCUGCAGAGGAAGCAUCGGCUAACUACGUGCCAGCAGCCGCGGUAAGACGUAGGAUGCAAGCGUUGUCCGGAUUCAUUGGGCGUAAAGAGUUCGUAGGCGGUUUGUUAAGUCUGAUGUUAAAGAUCAGGGCCCAACCCUGAGAGUGCAUUGGAUACUGGCAGACUGGAGU